UACAGAGGUCUCAAGCGUUGUUCGGAUUCAUUGGGCGUAAAGGGUGCGUAGGCGGCGCGGUAAGUCGGAUGUGAAAUCUCGGAGCUUAACUUCGAAACUGCAUUCGAUACUGCCGUGCUUGAGGACUGGAGAGGAGACUGGAAUUUACGGUGUAGAGGUGAAAUUCGUAGAUAUCAGGAAGAACACCCGUGGCGAAAGCGGCUCUCUGGAACGGUACUGACGCUGAGACGCGAAAGCGUGGGGAGCGAACAGG
rnacentral:rRNA from 1 species